GAUGAAGAACGUAGUGAAAUGCGAUACGUAAUGUGAAUUGCAGAAUUCAGUGAAUCAUCGAAUCUUUGAACGCAUAUUGCGCUCUUUGGUAUUCCGAAGAGCAUGCUUGUUUGAGUAUCAGUAAACACCUCAAAGCUUUUGGAUUUUUUAAUCGAAAAGCUUUGGACUUGAGCAAUCCCAACACCAAUCUUUUUGAGAUCGGUGGCGGGUUGCUUGAAAUGCAGGUGCAGCUGGACAUUCUCCUGAGCUAAAAGCAUAUUCAUUUAGUCCCGUCAAACGGAUUAUUACUUUUGCUGCAGCUAACAUAAAGGGAGUUUGACCGUAUUGGCUGACUGAUGCAGGAUUUCACAAGGGUCGGCAACGAUUCUUGUUAAACUCGAUCUCAAAUCAAGUAAGACUACCCGCUGAACUUAAGCAUAUCAAUAAGCGGAGGA
rnacentral:misc_RNA from 1 species